UUCAAGUGUUCUAAUGGCUUACCCUGGGGCGACACACCUCUCUGCUCUCACCUUAUGCGUGAUCCUCCUUGUCUCCUGCCUCCACUGGCCUUCCUUUUCCUGAGCACCCACGGUCUUUCCUGCCUCAGACCCUAUGCUGUUGCAGUGCCUGGAAUGCCACCCCCAUGCCCUCUGCCUGGGUGGCUCCUUCCCAUUCUCCAACAGGCUUCCCUGAUCCCUGUGCCUAGAGUGGCAUCCCUUGCCUUGUUUAUUUCCUUCAUUUUCCUUAUCAUAAAUUGUGAGUCACUGCACUGUGUGUGUACUUGGGUAACAGAAUGUUUAAGUGUGACUCGUUCUGUCUCUGUGAGGCCCCUGAGUCCAAGGACUCAGCGGGGAAGGGCUCCUCCACAUUUCAAAGCAGGGCACUGGUUGGCCUGUGCAGGACUUGCAAAGGAGGUGUAUGAACACCGGUUUUGUGGCUUUUAUGCUGUCCCCCAUCUUGAGGCUAUAAAGAGAUUGAAUUUGAGGAGGGAGAGAGAAUUUUCCUUUGGAGACAUUUGCAGAAAUACUGGGCACUUCCCUCCCAGCACCACGGGGAUCCUCCUUUGCUAGUUUAAUUCUAGGGAGAAAGGGCUUAGGAGGAGGGCUUGACUGUGUGUCCUGGAGUCAUGGCUGGGGUUUGACACCUGCCUGAAGAGCAGUGUCCUGAGAGCACAGAGAGAGGGGCGGAAUCUGGAAUCUGCACUGCCUCAACAGCAGGGCGAAGCUGCUAGUCUUCUGGAGGCUGCUUAAAAGGGACCUGCCCCAAGACAGGGUGGGGAGGGGUGAAGGAGUGGGCCCAAUGCUCCCAGGCAGAGAGGGUUAGAGCUGGGAGCCACUGGCCAGAGAAUUUUCCAGAUCACAGAGUUGGCAGCAGAAUCUCUCUCUGAAACUAGGAAAGCACCCAAGGGGAGAGAGAGAGAGAGCUUCCUUGAGGACUGAGCUGUUCAGGGGAUGUAGACUCACCACCCCUUUUUCCUUCCUCCCUCAGCUUAACCCCCAAGGAGCAGAAACCCAGGCUGGAAAGGAGGAGCCCCAAAAAGAGGGAGAAGGAGACUGCACUCUCUUUUCCCGCCAGAGGCCUCAAGCAGUUCUGAGCUGAAGGAAGAGAGCAGUUUCCUUGUGAGCAUUCCCCUAAUACGCCACCUGCACCUGAAUGCAGGGCUCGGAUUCGGCUUCCGGUGGACCUCGCUGAAUCAAUCAAUAUCAGCUGGAUGAAUGAAGAACUUUUACUGAGAGGCUUUCUGGGACUCUGGAAUGCAUGGCCCAAGGAAACAUUGGGCCAAGUGGAAGAAAGUCCUUCUAGGGUUAGAUUAGAUGUCCUCUUUCAGGUGAUGUACAGGCUGAAGACUUUAGGAAUUGUGGGCUAUUGCUCCUACUUGUCAUGUACUUGGAGGGCUAGGAGGAUGGAAGGGUAAGUUUUAUCAUUGUUUGCCUCAUUGGCUCAUCCGGGCUGGCCUAGAUGUGCUUAUCAUGAACAGGAAGCCUGUGAAGGGAAGUGUGUGUGUGUGUGUGUGUGUGUGUGUGUGUGUGUGUGUGUGUCUCACGUACCUGGUUCGGGAGUCCAGGAAGGCCUUGUUGACUUGGACCUUGGCCUGACUCACAGUAUCGGAGAUGGCAGAGGUUCUGGUAGUCUGUGCUUGGGGUUGGAGUGGGGAGCAGGAAGUAGGAUGUCAGACACCACUCCUUUGCGAUGUCUUCUGCUUUUGUCUCCCUCUUUCUCAGCCAUUACCCCCACCCCUCAAAUCUGGGCAGGCAAGAGAUCAAGAUUAGGAAAGUUUCAUAAGAGUCCUUAAGGGGAAAAAGCACAGAAUGGGAAGAAUACUCUUGGAUCUUAAACAAGAUGUCAAAAUUGCUCUUUGAGAUCUCACUAGAAUGCCCAGAGAUGGGAUGAAGAGGGAGUGUGGCCACUCAGGGUGGCUUGGGCUACUGGACUGUGGGGGUUUUUCUGGUUCCUGGUGAGAUGGUCUCAUGGACUAUCUCAAGUUCAUCAAAGAGGACCCACUGAUCACCAGGACCCUGACGUAGAGAAGGGGAUGGCAUGAGAGUAAUGGUGGGAUUCCCUGUUACCUCUUGUAUUGGGGUCUGGAGCAUGGAGGACAGGAUCUGUUUUCUCAACAAGGAGAGUGUAGUGGGUUAAAUAAUGGCCCUCCCAAAAUUCACAUCUGCAUGGAACCUCAGAAUGUGACCUCAGAAUGUGACCUUAUUUGGAAGGAGGGUCUUUGUAGAUGUUAUGAAUUAAAAUGAGGUCAUGCUGCCUUAGCAUUGGCCCUAAAUCCAAUAAAUGGUGGUUUUAUGAGAAGAGGAGAGGACACACAAAGAAAAAGGCCAUGCAAAGACUGAGGCAGAGAUUGGAGUGUUGCAGCUACAAGCCAGGGAACACCAAGGACACCAGGGCCACCAGAAGCUGGAAGAGGAAAGGAAGCAUUCUUCCCUAGAGCCUUCAGAGGGAGCACAGCCCUGCCAACACCUUGAUUUUGGACUUCUAUCCUCCCGGACUGUGAGAGAAUACAUUUCUGUUGUGUUAGGCCAUCCAGUUGGUGUGCUUUGUGACAGCAGCCCCCAGAAAACCUGUAAAGGGAGACACUCACCUCUUGUGGCAGAUGCUGCAGCCUGAAGCAAGACGAGGGAAGCCAGGAGGGCUGGGAGAUGGAGAAGGACCCUCAUCACUGAAACGAGAGGGAGGAUCACACUAUGAGCCUCUCUAGAGCCCAAGUGGGAGGGUUUGAAUCACAGAAAGCAGAGAAAGCCCAAGGAGCGCCAGACACCCUAACAUUGGAACAGGAAAUGAGAAACCACAUUAAUGAAUGAAGCAUCUACCAUAUACACAGGCCCGUGCUAGGUACUGGGAGAGACGGAAAGAGGAGAAGCCAUGGUGGAAGAGAAAGAACUCAGGCUUCAGGAUCUAAGGCCCUGAGUUAUCAUUCUGCAUUUGCUCCAAAUAGCCCUGUGACCUUGGGCAGGUUACUUAACAUCUCUGGGGUCCUGGCUUGCUAUGGGAGGAGGUGGGACCAAGUGAUCCAGAAUGUUCAAUUCUGCCCUGACAGCCUGUGGUCCGGAGAUGCUGUACCUGUCUUGUCACAGGUGUGAGAAACGCUGUUGCCAAGGCUGGAGCCUGCCUUUGAGUUCCCCUCCCUCCUUCCCUCCAGGAUGCAUUGCUCCCUGCAAGCCAGUUUCCUCUGGUCCAGCCCCAGGGGAGAAUGCCUGAGAGGCAGACACUCAGCACCUCCCUUCGGAAACGUGGCAGGGGCUUCCCCUUCCCUCAAAGUGCCAACUUGAUGGCAAUACUGAAAGAAAGUUAUGACAAAGCUCAGAGCUCCCCUGAGCCCAUAGCUGUGCCCCAGGAUGCCUGGAAAGAUUCCAGCUCAUGGAUUAACCCCUUCGCCAUGAGCUUUAACUCUAAACGCAAGUCUUUAGACUGAAAUUUGUGCAGCUUUGUUUUCUGAUGAGGGUCUUCAUUGGGCUUAGUGGAGCAGACCCCAUACAUCUUCUGAGGAGAUUCUGGCUCCAGCCCAGGGAGGCAGCCACAGCGUGCAGAUGGAAUGAUUGCGUGUUUAGACCAUGGUCCUGAGAGGCUCCUCAGCUUUCACAAGAGUGCCUGGGCUCUCCCUGCAGCACAGCGUUCACUGGUGGAAUCCAGAAGCACACCAGUGAGAGCAGCCUCAGGUUGCCCCCCAGCCAUGUCUCCCCAAGGCUCAGCUCCCAGAGAGAAAUCGUAGUUCUGGAGCUUUGCCUGACAGACCUCCCCGCCUGUCUUGCAGGCCCUCUCCAAAUCAUCUCCCCUUGGAACAGGCCAGACCAGGAGAACUCUGUAUCUGGAUCAGGUCAUUUCAGCCUCCUUCACCCCUGCCCGCCUCCAAUUUUUCCCUCUGCCCUUUUGUGGUCCCCCUAAUAAUUUGUAUCUUGUUGUACGUUUUGUCAGCUAACUCUAGAGAAAGGGCAAGGCAUGAAUAAAUACCUCUCUGGC